CAGAAACCCUGCAGAGAUGCAGCAGUCAUGGAAACACAGCAAAUUCCAUCUGUCAGAGGGAGGCAGGACCGCGAAAGACACCACAGCAGCCCAAGCACUCAGACCUGUGAGGGCUCUCAUGGGCGUUGCAGUGAGAGCGGUAGGAGAGGAAGGUAAGGAACCUGUGGGGAGCUAAGGGACAGUCAAUGCCCUGGCAUGGAAAGACAGACAGGAUCAACUGUGGCCCAGAGGGACAACCCUGAGGAUGACAAGCUGGGGAUUGAGAUCAGGGUGACCUGUCCUUGGUGACAGGAAAUAGGCUAAGUACCCUCAGGGAGGGCUUCUCCCGGGGACCUGAGACCUAGCAGGGGCGUGCAGGGUGUCUGAGACUGGUGCUGCCUGUGGCACAAGGGUUUCUGGAGGUUGGGCUUCAGAAACACGCUUCAUUUGGCAAAUUCAGGGAUUGAUGAGGGACAGAGAGCAUCUGUGUCAUUGCCCCUCUCUGCCCUGAGAAUUGGGGUCUACAAGGAGAUUUGCUUUCCUGGCAGGACUGAGCUUGUCCUUCAGUGGGGCGUGGAGGCUGUCCCUGGGAUUCAGGCAGUGAGAGCACUGGGGUCUAGAAAGCAGCGGUACAGUGCAAUUGCAUUCACUCCUGCUCUGCCAGGGACACCUCUGUGCUGCUCUGCUCACAGGCUGAGGAGACCCAGGCCACUGCAGCGUCUCCACUGCACCCUCAGGUGUUUCUGCUCUGAAGAAAACCCACGUGUCCUCUGCUGCAUGGGACAAAAUCUGCAUGGCAUAGCUGGGGAAGCCGAUGAGCACAGGGAUGAACAACAUCUGGCACAGUGUCAAGGGGUAAAAGGCACAAAGGGAAGGAGUGACAGCCCAUUCUGACGAGGUCUGCUGGGAGAACAAUUCCCUCAUCCUUCUCCUUCCUGUGCCUAGAGCUCUGCCUGAGAAUAGGGAAGGAGAAACAAGUGGAAAUGGGUGAGGAUCCCUGGUGGAACUUGUGUCUCAUAACGCUGGAAAGUGGAAGGCUUGUCAUGGGGUGUCACCCAAUUCAGUGUUUCACUGAAGGAGAAAUUUCAGUGGAAGUCCUGAGGAGAACUGUAUGCAAGUGCAAAGCAGGAGACAGGAUCAACCAGUGGAGACUGUGGCACAGUGCUGUGUUCUGAAUUCACUAUGAGAAUAAUGGUGAUAACAGAGUUUCAGUUGUAGUAAUGCACUGCUUACCCCAAAUCCAGGACUUGACAGUGUCUCCUGCUCUGCCAGAGAGCAGCUGCACAAGCAGCUGGAAGGGAGCAUUUCUGAGAGAGCUGACCCCAAGUGGCCAAAAGGAUUUUUGCUCCCAUUCAGCCUGAUACUCCGCAUGGAAACUGAGGGGAGGUGGUCAGCUGCUGCCUGUCCCUGCUCAGGGAUGGGCUGGGCACCAGGUCAGUGGGUGCUGAAAGAUAAUAUUCUAUGUCCCAUGGAUUCACUUGAGCUUUAUUUCUCUCUUUCUUCUCUUUUACUCCUAUGAUUGCUCUGUUUGGAUCUCAACCUGUCCGUUCUACUCUUUUUCCCAUCCCACCAGGGCAAGGGGCUAGUGAGGGAGUGCCUGUAACACCCAGCAGAUCACUCGGCUUUAACCACAAGGACUUGAGCACCAGACAGCAUCUCCAUAUCCCCACAGCUAUGGCAUGAGCUGCAGCUCCCCUGAUCACGCCUGUGCUUCACACUCCAGCAAGGAAUCUCCAGCUUCUGUUCUUGAUAGAUUAUGAAACUUUAGCCCUCAUGUCUUUCAGCAAGGAGCAGGAGAUGUAGAGGAUGGGCCAGACAAGAUGCUUGGAAACACCAACAACCCCUGCUGAAAACACCACUCGGACUUCUUCCUCCUAGUCCUUGUCCUGAUAACCAGGGAAGUUCUGUGUCUAACCUGGGCAGUGUCCUGCUGUGGGCAGGGACAAAUCUCAAACAUCAGAGUGCUUAGGUCACAGGGUAGAGGUGUAACCUGUGGUCCCUUGUGCACCGCAGCGUCCUGUCCUUGAAGAACAGCGGGAUCAAGGAACAGUGGGCUUUUUCUUUCCAGCUGGUGGAGAGGGAAAGCACUGGUUGAACUAUUCCACAUCCUGCUUCCCAAGCCAUGAGUUCAUAUAACAGAUUGCAAGGAAGGAGAGAUUGAUUAGGAAGGGAAGAGGAAAUUGGAAGGGGGCAUGUAUGAGAGUACAGCGAGGAAUGGUCAAGGGGACAGACAGAAAGAUAGGAAAGAAGGAAAGUCAGAAGCAGUCUGUGAAUGGCAGAGAUUGAGGUGAGACAGUGAGGACAAGAAGAAACGAGCAUCAGAAGGUGAUUCAGAAAUGGGGGAAAAACAGAAAAGCAGCUCAAGACCAAGGUAAAGUCAGACAGAUGGUGAGAUGGGUGGACAGACAGACACUCAUACUGUUUUUUUAUCCUGAAGAGCUGGUGGGGAAGUGAAGAAAAUGGAGUUCUGUCAAACACUGGGCUCAGUGCAUGCUGGUGGCAGAUCCCUGUUUACCUGGCAAGGUUUGUGCUGUGCUGCACCAGCCUUUGACUCACUG